AUCCAGUCCGGAGCCUGCACCUCCUAUCAUCAUCUCAGACCGUUUGGGCCUUCGGAACAAACUAUAGACCAACUGCUUCAUUAGGAGUAGUUAGAGGUUCUCGAACCGAUAACUAGCGUUCUGUUACAGAGAAUCAAAGAACCAAAAACUACGCAUGAGUAAAUCGUGUAGGGACAUCUUUCUAAGAUCUUAUCACAACACUUUAUUUUCUAAAACCAGAGAAAUAAUUCAAAGAUACUUAACAGAGACUUAUAGAAAAAAAAAGAAAAACUUUUCUCCCAUUAGUGGGGUCUGAGACUUAUAGAAUGUUUCUUUCAUUAAUUAGUUAUUUAAGUGCUUUGUUGUAGCUCUUUUGAUGCAGUAAUUAUCUUCAAGAGUUUUCAGAUGUAAGUGUUUCCUUUCAACACAGUUUUAAUCAAUUGAAAGUCGGAAUGAAUUAAUAUCCUUUACUAUACCAUUAUGCCCGGGUGAUCGUUCUCUACGCGUUUACGAUGCUCUGUUAAUUGAUGGAUGGGUCUCACGUCAAAUGUGACUAUUAAAAGACUUCAAGAGUGAGACGGAAGGAAACGUUGAU
rnacentral:rRNA from 1 species